rnacentral:rRNA from 1 species
UACGUAGGGUGCAAGCGUUAAUCGGAAUUACUGGGCGUAAAGCGUGCGCAGGCGGUUUUGUAAGUCUGUCGUGAAAUCCCCGGGCUUAACCUGGGAAUGGCGAUGGAGACUGCAAGGCUAGAGUUUGGCAGAGGGGGGUAGAAUUCCAGGUGUAGCGGUGAAAUGCGUAGAUAUCUGGAGGAACACCGGUGGCGAAGGCGGCAUCCUGGACCAACACUGACACUGAGGAGCGAAAGCCAGGGGAGCAAACGGG